rnacentral:lncRNA from 1 species
UCACAGGGCAGUCCGAUGGACCCAAUGGUGAUGAAGAGACCUCAGUUGUAUGGGAUGGGCACUCACCCCCAUUCGCAGCCGCAGCAGAGCAGCCCAUACCCAGGAGGUGCCUACGGCCCCCCAGGCGCACAGCGGUAUCCCCUUGGCAUGCAGGGCCGGGCUCCAGGGGCCCUGGGAGGCUUGCAGUACCCACAGCAGCAGAUGCCACCGCAGUAUGGACAGCAAGGUGUGAGUGGUUACUGCCAGCAAGGCCAGCAGCCAUAUUACAACCAGCAGCCACAGCCCUCGCACCUCCCGCCCCAGGCACAGUACCUACAGCCACAGUCCCAGCAGAGGUACCAGCCACAGCAGGACAUGUCUCAGGAAGGCUAUGGAACUAGAGCUCAGCCUCCUCUGGCCCCUGGAAAAUCCAACCACGAAGACUUGAAUUUAAUACAACAGGAAAGACCAUCGAGUCUACCAGUAAGACAUUACUGUGCUGAUUGGAAAACAUAAUGAGUUAAAGGGUUCUGAAAACA